rfam:Camelus ferus unplaced genomic scaffold scaffold449, whole genome shotgun sequence.
GCGGGUAUAGCUCAGUGGUAGAGUGCAUACCUAGCAUGCACGAGGUACUGGGUUCAAUCCCCAGUACCUCCA